rnacentral:tRNA from 1 species
GCGACACUAGCUCAGCUGGUAGAGCGCAACCUUGCCAGGUUGAGGUCACGAGUUCGAACCUCGUGUGUCGCUCCA